UAGACUGAAGCAAAUCCUGAUAUUUUUUCUC
rnacentral:piRNA from 1 species